rnacentral:rRNA from 1 species
AUUGAACGCUGGCGGCAUGCCUUACACAUGCAAGUUGAACGGCAGCACGGGUGCUUGCACCUGGUGGCGAGUGGCGAACGGGUGAGUAAUACAUCGGAACGUACCUUAUCGUGGGGGAUAACGCAGCGAAAGCUGUGCUAAUACCGCAUACGCCCUGAGGGGGAAAGCGGGGGAUCGAAAGACCUCGCGCGAUUAGAGCGGCCGAUGCCUGAUUAGCUUGUUGGUGGGGUAAAAGCCCACCAAGGCGACGAUCAGUAGCUGGUCUGAGAGGAGGAUCAGCCACACUGGGACUGAGACACGGCCCAGACUCCUGCGGGAGGCAGCAGUGGGGAAUUUUGGACAAGGGGGGCAACCCUGAUCCAGCAAUGCCGCGUGAGUGAAGAAGGCCUUCGGGUUGUAAAGCUCUUUUGUCAGGGAAGAAACACCGGCUCUAACACAGUCCGGGAAUGACGGUACCUGAAGAAUAAGCACCGGCUAACUACGUGCCAGCCGCCGCAGUAA